CACUGUGGAGAAUAUCAAGUACAUACAGGGUGGUGAUUCUGUCCAGAGAGCACUUGCUGUCCUGUUAAGAAAGCACUGAUUCUCAUGAAACUAUAAGAGAACAGUUUGCAAAGUAAGAAAACACUCAAAAUGUAAAGCGAAAAGACAAAGGUGUUACUCCCUGUCCCCACCCCCCAAAAGGGGUUGUGUGGCCUUCUGAAGGAAAUUUGGGUUGUUUUCACAAUUUGUUUAUUCAUUCACCUGCUAAAGGAAGUUCAGGUUGUUUCCAGUUUUUGGUUCAUAGAUUGAAGGUUCUAUGAACAUUUGUGUACAAAGUCUUUGUAUGCUUUCAUUUCUCUGGGGUAAAUACAUAGAUGUGAAAUGGCUGCAUCACAUGGGAAGUGUAUGUUUAAUUUUUUAAGAAAUUAAGUAAUCACUU
rnacentral:lncRNA from 1 species